rnacentral:misc_RNA from 1 species
UAGGGGGCUAGCGUUGUCCGGAAUCACUGGGCGUAAAGGGUUCGCAGGCGGAAAUGCAAGUCAGAUGUAAAAGGCAGUAGCUUAACUACUGUAAGCAUUUGAAACUGCAUAUCUUGAGAAGAGUAGAGGUAAGUGGAAUUUUUAGUGUAGCGGUGAAAUGCGUAGAUAUUAAAAAGAAUACCGGUGGCGAAGGCGACUUACUGGGCUCAUUCUGACGCUGAGGAACGAAAGCGUGGGUAGCAAACAGGAUUAGAUACCCUGGUAGUCCACGCUGUAAACGAUGAGUGCUAGGUGUCGGCGAAUGUCGGUGCCGCAGGU